UGGGGAAUAUUGCACAAUGGGCGCAAGCCUGAUGCAGCCAUGCCGCGUGUGUGAAGAAGGCCUUCGGGAUUGUAAAGCACUUUCAGCGAGGAGGAAGGUGGUGGACUUAAUACGUUCAUCAAUUGACGUUACUCGCAGAAGAAGCACCGGCUAACUCCGUGCCAGCAGCCGCGGUAAUACGGAGGGUGCAAGCGUUAAUCGGAAUUACUGGGCGUAAAGCGCACGCAGGCGGUUUGUUAAGUCAGAUGUGAAAUCCCCGGGCUCAACCUGGGAACUGCAUUUGAAACUGGCAAGCUAGAGUCUCGUAGAGGGGGGUAGAAUUCCAGGUGUAGCGGUGAAAUGCGUAGAGAUCUGGAGGAAUACCGGUGGCGAAGGCGGCCCCCUGGACGAAGACUGACGCUCAGGCUGGCGAAAGCGUGGGGAGCAAACAGGAUUAGAAUACCCUGGUAG
rnacentral:rRNA from 1 species